rnacentral:rRNA from 1 species
GACGAACGCUGGCGGCGUGCUUAACACAUGCAAGUCGAACGGAAAGGCCCUGCUCUUGUGGGGUGCUCGUGUGGCGAAGGGGUGAGUAAAACGUGAGUAACCUGUCCUUGUAUGUGGGAUAAAAUCAGGAAACAGGGGAUAAAAUCGGGGAGAAGAUCUUGAUGCACGGUGGGGGAUGGAAAGAUUCGGCGGUGGGGGAUGGAAUCGAGGGUUAUGCGCUUGUUGGUGGAGUAGUGGCUUACCAAGGUUUUGACGGGUAGCCGGCCUGGGAGGGUUACCGGGCACAUUGGGACUGAGGUACGGCCCAGACGGCUACGGGAGGCAGCGGUGGGGAAUAUUGCACAAUGGGCGGAAGCCUGAUGCAGCGGCGCCGCGUGCGGGAUGACGUCCUUCGGGUUGUGAACCGCUGUCGCCUGUGACGAAGCGUGAGUGACGGUAAUGGGUAAAGAAGCACCGGCUAACUACGUG